rnacentral:rRNA from 1 species
UGGGGAAUAUUGCACAAUGGGGAAGACCCUGAUGCAGCGACGCCGCGUGAAGGAAGAAGUAUCUCGGUAUGUAAACUUCUAUCAGCAGGGAAGAUAAUGACGGUACCUGACUAAGAAGCCCCGCUAAUUACGUGCCAGCAGCCGCGGUAAUACGUAAGGGCAAGCGUUAUCCGGAUUUACUGGGUGUAAAGGGAGCGUAGACGGAAUGGCAAGUCUGAUGUGAAAAGGCAGGGGCUUAACCCCUGCACGAUGCAUUGGAAAACUGUCAGUCUAGAGUGCCGGAGAGGUAAGCGGAAUUCCUAGUGUAGCGGUGAAAUGCGUAGAUAUUAGGAGGAACACCAGUGGCGAAGGCGGCUUACUGGACGGUAACUGACGCUGAGGCACGAAAGUGUGGGGAGCAAACAGGAUUAGAUACC